AAAUUUCAGUUAAGUGUUAAUCACAAACGGCGUCCGUGGCCGAAGACAACCAGAAGGUGGGCUUAGAAGCAGCCAUCCUUGAAAGAGUUCGUAACAGAUCACUGGUCAAGUUUGCGGGCCCGAAAAAUGGACGGGGCUCAAACUGAAUACCGAUACGCUGACCCUCCGCAAGGAGAUGGGGUAGCGCGGCGAUGUGCUCGGGCAGAAGCGAGGUCGUAAGGUCUCGUGGACCGUGUACAUAUGAGAAUCCAGGGAAGAGUAGCAGCAUAGUGUGGUGAGAAUCCGCACCACCGAAGGGGUAAGGGUUCCUCGGCAAUGUUUUUCAGCCGAGGGUUAGCCGGUCCUAAGGGCAUUCUUAACCGAAAUGUCCGAAUGGGAAAUGCGUUAAUAUUCGUAUGCCCCUCUACAAUAAAUGGUGACGGCUCGGGCUAGUUCGUGCAUUCCUGUCAUGGGAUGUCGAAGCGUUCGAUAACCGAUCGGAGAACCGUCAUGGUGAGAAGAUCGGGAAGGCGUGAGCAAAAGACGAAUGAUGCCUGGGUCCCAUGAAAAGCCGUAGAGGUGACCGUACCUAGAACUGACACAGGUACCCAAGGUGAGUAGCCUAAGGUGUGACGGGCAAAGUACCGCGAAGGAACUCGGCAAAAUCGCUCUGUAACUUCGGGAGAAGGAGUGCCAGCUUAGAGAUAAGCUGGUCGCAGUGACCAGGGGACUCCGACUGUUUAAUAAAAACAUAGGCGACUGCUAGAUCGAAAGGUUGUGUAUAGUCGCUGAAUCCUGCUCAGUGCUGGUAUCUGAAAUCGGGUUACAACCUGACGAAGGACCAGUAAACAGCGGGGGUAACUAUGACCCUCUUAAGGUAGCGUAAUACCUUGUCGCUUAAUUGGCGACUUGCAUGAAUGGCACAACGAGAGUCCCACUGUCUCCGCGGUACGUCCGGCGAAAUUGACAUUACUGGCGCACAGUCCAGUAACCUCAACCUGCAAGCGAAGACCCCGUAGAGCUUUACUGCAACCUGGCGUUGUACAGUCGCACAUUACGUGCUGAGUAGACGGGAGACGCUGAUCCUCGGGACGCCAGUUCCGAGAGUAGUCAACCAUAGAGACACCGUCCUUAGUGUGUAACUGUACUAACUCUUCAUGAGAACACCGCUUGGUGGGCAGUUUGGGUGGGGCGCCACGCGCUCGAAAAAAUAACAAGCGUGCCCAAAGGUCAGCUUAGGUGGUUCAGUCUCCACCGUGAAAUGUAAGGGUAAAAGCUGGCUUGACGUGGAUCGGCAAAAUAACGAUCGACGAUGCGAAAGCAGGGCCUAUCGAACCAAUGUACCUCAUUUAUGGGGGUCAUUGAUAACAGAAAAGUUACCUCGGGGAUAAUUGAGUUGUCACCAGCAAGAGCACAUAUCGACCUGGUGGCUUGCUACUUCGAUGUCGUCUCUUCCCAACCUCCUGGUGCAGCAGCUGGGAAGGGUGGGGUUGUUCGCCCAUUAAAGGGGAUCGUGAGAUGGGUUUAGACCGUCGUGAGACAGGUUUGUUGCUUUGUGGUUGAGGCGUAUAAGAUGCCUGAUCGGAAGGGCCCUUUAGUACGAGAGGAACGAGGGCUCGGGGCCACUAGUUUACCAGUUGUCCGGCAGGGCAAUGCUGGGUAGCCACGCCCUACGUGGAUAAGAGCUGAAAGCAUCUAAGCUCGAAGUCAUCCGAAAGACGAGGCAUCUCAGGGGACUCGUAGAAGACGAGUUUGAUAGACAGCGGGUGUAAGCACCGAGGUUUCGACCGAGGUGUUCAGCCCAGCUGCACUAAUCCCCCGAGCAUCAAGAA
rnacentral:rRNA from 1 species